rnacentral:rRNA from 1 species
AACGAACGCUGGCGGCAGGCUUAACACAUGCAAGUCGAACGGGCAUAGCAAUAUGUCAGUGGCAGACGGGUGAGUAACGCGUGGGAAUAUGCCCUUUAGUUCGGAAUAACCAAGGGAAACUUUGGCUAAUACCGGAUAAGCCCGAGAGGGGAAAGAUUUAUCGCUGAAGGAGUAGCCCGCGUCUGAUUAGCUAGUUGGUGAGGUAAUGGCUCACCAAGGCGACGAUCAGUAGCUGGUCUGAGAGGAUGAUCAGCCACACUGGGACUGAGACACGGCCCAGACUCUUACGGGAGGCAGCAGUGGGGAAUAUUGGACAAUGGGGGCAACCCUGAUCCAGCCAUGCCGCGUGAGUGAUGAAGGCCUUAGGGUUGUAAAACUCUUUUAUCCGGGAAGAUAAUGACUGUACCGGAAGAAUAAGCCCCGGCUAACUUCGUGCCAGCAGCCGCCGUAA